rnacentral:rRNA from 1 species
UACGAAGGGGGCUAGCGUUGUUCGGAAUUACUGGGCGUAAAGCGUGCGCAGGCGGCUUCUCAAGUCAGGGGUGAAAGCCCAGAGCUCAACUCUGGAAUUGCCUUUGAGACUGAGUGGCUUGAGUACGAGAGAGGUGAGUGGAAUUCCCAGUGUAGAGGUGAAAUUCGUAGAUAUUGGGAAGAACACCGGUGGCGAAGGCGGCUCUCUGGACCGUAACUGACGCUGAGGCGCGAAAGCGUGGGGAGCAAACAGG